rnacentral:rRNA from 1 species
GUGCCAGCCGCCGCGGUAAUACCGGCAGCUCAAGUGAUGUCCCAUAUUAUUGGGCCUAAAGCGUCCGUAGCUGGCCGACCAAGUCUCCCGGGAAAUCCACCCGCCCAACGGGUGGGCGUCCGGUAGAAACUGGCCGGCUUGGAACCGGAAGGCUCAGAGAGUACGUCCGGGGUAGGAGUGAAAUCCUAUAAUCCUGGACGGACCACCAAUGGGGAAACCACCUCAGGAGGAUGGACCCGACAGUGAGGGACGAAAGCUAGGGUCUCGAACCGGAUUAGAAACCCUUGUAGUCC